rnacentral:rRNA from 1 species
UGAUAAGGUCCAUUGUCAAGAGGGAAACAGCCCAGAACACCGACUAAGGUCCCAAAUGUUACACUAAGUGGCGAAGGAUGUGGAAUUUCCAAAACAACCAGGAUGUUGGCUUAGAAGCAGCCACCAUUUAAAGAGUGCGUAAUAGCUCACUGGUCGAGAGACUCUGCGCCGAAAAUGUCCGGGGCUAAAGUAUGAAACCGAAGUCGUGUCAUAUGCAGCAAUGUAUAUGGGUAGGGGAGCGUUCUCAUCGGAUUGAAGCAGUACCGUAAGGAGUUGUGGACUGAUGAGAAGUGAGAAUGUCGGUAUGAGUAGCGAAAAGAAUGGUGAGAAUCCAUUCCACCGAAAGCCUAAGGGUUCCUGAGCAACGAUCGUCGUCUCAGGGUAAGUCGGGACCUAAGCCGAGGCGGAAAAGCGUAGGCGAUGGACAACAGGUUGAAAUUCCUGUACCGGUGUGAAUCGUUUGAUCGAUGGAGUGACACAGUAAGGUAGGUCAGCACGCGAUUGGAAGUGCGUGUUUAAGCAUGUAGGUUGAGUUAUAGGCAAAUCCGUAACUCUAAAAGCUGAGAUGUGAUGACGAGCUGUUUACAGCGAAGUGAUUGAUCCUACACUGUCGAGAAAAGCUUCUAGGUAGAGACACAUCGCCCGUACCAAAACCGACACAGGUAGGCGGGGAGAGAAUCCUAAGGUGCGCGGGAAAACCCUCGUUAAGGAACUCGGCAAAAUGCCUCCGUAACUUCGGGAAAAGGAGGACUCAUGUAGUGUGAAGUGCAGCAACGCAUGGAGCAUGAAUGAGUGGCACAAGAGAGGCGCAAGCGACUGUUUACCACAAACACAGGUGCCUGCUAAAGCGAAAGCUGAUGUAUAGGUGCUGACACCUGCCCGGUGCUGGAAGGUUAAGGAAGGUGCUUAGCGUAAGCGAAG